GUUAGCUUUUUGCCUCCUUGGAAGAACCCAAAGACCAGACCAGCCUUGGCUGCCUGUGAUGUUUGGAGAAAUAGUUACUGGAAUUAAAUUUCCAUGUUGUUCCUGGACUCCCUGCUGAAUCUCGGAGAACUAUUUCCCAAGGAAGAAGGAUUGAGUCUGAGUCUUCUGUUCAUCUAGGAUGGGGGGGAGGGGGCAUUGGGACUCAGCGAUACUUAGAGGCUGCUACUGGUGUUGAGAAAUUCUAUUGGCCUAUCCUUCCCUUGGGCAACACCACUCUCGAGUCAAAGGAAUUGUGUUCAGAUCCUGGCACUGUCACUUACUACUGGUGUGAUCCUGGACAAAUCACUUAAUUUCUUUUAGCCUUUGUUUCCUUAUCUGUAAAAUGGAACAGAUAAAUUCUAUAGUCUCUUCUAGUUCUAAAUAUAUGAUCUUAUUAAUCCUCUCCUUUAUCCUCAGUCAUUGAAUAUCAAGAGUUGAAAACAAGUUCAAUAGCCAACUAGUCUUAAUUCAUCCUUGUGUGGGAUAAAAAUCGAUUACAAGUGCCCCACUCACUCAAAUAAACAGAAUCAGAAGGUGUUUAUUCCCCUUCAUGAAAGAAAGCACUCCAACAAUGGGCUAAAAAGUGCCAACUGACUAGGUAGCAAACAGGCAAUAUAUAUCCGAGGUUCCUCCCCUCUCCCUUGUCAGGUCCUCAAACCAGGCUUUGACCUGCAAAUCAAAACACCUGUGCUUCCAACCAAACUCAGGUGAGGCAAGGGAAGCAACCAAGAGGUUCAAGCCCCCUUCUGUCCAUCAUCAGUCUCUCUUACAAACCUGUCACAGAGUCCUGAACCAACAAAAAGGGAACAAACUAGCUUCUAUAAGCUAAAUGCUCACUCUGAGAAUAACACACUCAAUUCUAUCCCACACAAUACAGAAAAAACAGAUUCUGCUACAAUAUACCCAGCAAGUGGUCAACCAGCCUUUGAAGACAUUUGCUGUUGUUCGGCUGUGUUCGAUUCUUCUUGACCCCAUUGUUUUCGUGGCAAAGAUACUGGAGUUUUCCUUCUUGGGCUUAUUUUACAGCUCACUGAUCAACCAAGAUGGCGGCAGGGAUUACAUUGGCCAUUGAGAACUUCUGCAGGAUACUUUCACAUUGACUGAAGCCUUGAAUCCCUCUCAAAACCAGGACGGAAGCCAAACUCUUUUCUUUCACUGUUGGGCAAAGGAUCUGGCUGUCAUUCCUCUGUCCCCUGCUGAGAAUUCUGCCUAUAGAAAGACAUUCAGCAUUCUUGCAAAAAGCUUUUGGCUGUCUGCAUUCGUGGCCCAUCUGUUUGGAUGGCAUGAGGCUUGCUCCUCUAGGGCACAGGAGUCUGGCAGUGAGGCCUCUGAUUUGGCACUGCAUCACUU
rnacentral:lncRNA from 1 species